GACGCUGCUCAGAAGACUCCGAUGCUAAAUGCAGAUGCGCCCCUGAAUAUGAAUGCGGAAAUCUAGAGUGCGGCAGCUGCGUCUGUAGUAUUGGAGAGGAGUGGAACGGAGCAGGUUGCCAAGUGUGUCCUGAAGGGAAGUUUAAGUCCGGGAUAUCUGGUAAAUGCCAAAACUGGACACAAUGUCCAGCUAAUCAGAUCUCAAUUCCUGGGACGGCGAAAACUGAUGUGGUUUGCAACACGACAACAGAAGGCCCUACACAACCCCCGACUUGGCCGGUUUUAACUAAGGAGGCAGAGCAGGACAGCUAUCUGGUCCCCAUCAGCAUCGCCUUGGCGGUGGCCUUGCUUCUGUGUGUGCUGUUCCUGGUGCUCUUUUGCAUCUUCUUCAGAUCCUGGGCAAGAGAGAAGUUCCCGGCUGUGAUCCUGAAAGUGCCACUUGGACAGUUGGCCCAGGAGGUGGAUGACUGCAGCUACCGCUACCCGGAGGAAGAAGAGGGAGGAAGCAACGAAACAGCAGGGCUGACGGGGCAGCUCAUGGAAAAAAUCCCUUAGUGAGCCCCCGGCGCCCAGGAUGCUGUUCCAAGAUGCGACCUCUGAUGGGCGUUUGGGGUGGGUCAAAAGCAUCUUGCCUGUUUUCACAUUGCUUUGGCCUUUAUUUUUGUUUUAUU